GUGUCAGCAGCCGCGGUAAUACAGAGGGGGCAAGCGUUAUUCGGAAUUAUUGGGCGUAAAGGGCGCGUAGGCGGUCCUUCAAGUCUCUCGUGAAAUCCCUCGGCUUAACUGAGGACGUGCGGGAGAUACUGCUGGGCUUGAGUCCGGAAGAGGGUGGUGGAAUUCCCAGUGUAGCGGUGAAAUGCGUAGAUAUUGGGAGGAACACCGGUGGCGAAGGCGGCCACCUGGGCCGGAACUGACGCUGAGGCGCGAAAGCGUGGGGAGCAAACGGGAUUAGAUACCCCGGUAGUCC
rnacentral:rRNA from 1 species